AGUGAACGCUGGCGGUAGGCCUAACACAUGCAAGUCGAACGGCAGCACAGUAAGAGCUUGCUCUUACGGGUGGCGAGUGGCGGACGGGUGAGGAAUACAUCGGAAUCUACUUUUUCGGGGGGGAUAACGUAGGGAAACUUACGCUAAUACCGCAUACGACCUACGGGUGAAAGCAGUGGAUCUUCGGACCUUGCGCGAUUCAAUGAGCCGAUGUCGGAUUAGCUAGUUGGCGGGGUAAAGGCCCACCAAGGCGACGAUCCGUAGCUGGGCUGAGAGGAUGAUCAGCCACACUGGAACUGAGACACGGUCCAGACUCCUACGGGAGGCAGCAGUGGGGAAUAUUGGACAAUGGGCGAAAGCCUGAUCCAGCAAUACCGCGUGGGUGAAGAAGGCCUUCGGGUUGUAAAGCCCUUUUGUUGGGAAAGAAAAGCAGCAGGUGAAUACCCCGCUGUUCUGACGGUACCCAAAGAAUAAGCACCGGCUAACUUCGUG
rnacentral:rRNA from 1 species